UCCCAAGCAGGCUCCACACUGCCAGUGUAGAGCUUGAUGUGGGGCUCAAACCCAUGAAUUAUGAGAUCAUGACCUGAGUCAUGACCUGGGUCAUGGUAACCAAAAAAUGUACAAUGUGUAAUAGAGGCUAAACAAAUAGUAGUAAUUAUUACAACUAACAAGCAAAUAUAACAGUUCGUUCCAAGGAGGAUAAAAACCAAGGACCACUUCUUUUGGACUCCACUACCCAGAAUGCCUUUUGGUGAAAUUAAAAGAAGCCAUUGCACAGGUGCAAGGCUUAAAGAAGAAGCAGAAAGCACCUUUGUGAAAAUUGAAGGAAGGCACUCCUUACUCUGAAUAGAAGCAGCACAAAAGAUACCAUUGUUAGGUCACAUGAAAAGACACCUUUAUCAUUUGUUCCCCACAUCCUAACAGAUCAUCACUACCAUCUGUUGAUAGUUAUCUGAGUUGCAAAAAAGUCAAUGUGGCAGCAAGCACAACCUGAACUAAAGCCAGAGGGGGAAUUAUCAGCAUCUCAUGAGAUUCAAGGUAUUUCUGAGCCACACAAACCAAGAAGAGAUAAUUUCAAGAAGUGUAAAAUACAAGAGAAAUGUAAGCCAAAGUUGUUUAAUGUCACUGCUCUACCUCUUGAAUGUAAUCUUUGAUUUGAUGGAAAACUACUGAUUUAUCCACUGUCUCCAUGUAAGAAUGCAUAUGAUAGCAACCACUAGUGAAACCUGGAAAAUAAAGAUAAGAGAAGGCUCUGAACAGAGCUAUUCACUGGGGAAACAAACCUAUUCCUAUGCAGUUAGUAGAGAUAUCUUCAUAUUAGCAAUCAUGUUAACAGGUCUCUGAUUACUUUCCAUGAAGAACACCAACUCAAAUGACAUGCAGGUGCCAAAUAUUGAAGAGUUGCUAUAAGCAUCACCUUACUCUUAUAUUAACAAAGCCUUUUCUGAAGACGAUGAACACGCGGCGGGCUCCACAACAUAAAGCGGAUGUUGCACAGUCAAAAGCAGUGUCUCCAGCUCCGAGUACA